AUUAAUCAUUAUAUGUUCAGAUUUUUAUUUCAUGCUUCAUAAAAUCAUUCCGACUUCCAUCUAAUAAGGGCAGAUACAGAUUUUUGACUAUCUAUGUGGAAUGACAAGAUCAGAUAUAUAACAGCAAUUUGCCAACAACACAUUUUUCGGCUAGCCAACCAUGACACAAUCUUUGACAAUGGUCAUGCCAACAACAGUGGUCCUAUCAAAUAGUCUAUAGUCAUGACAGUACUUUGCCAAAUG
rnacentral:lncRNA from 1 species